rnacentral:rRNA from 1 species
CGGAGGGGCUAGCGUUGUUCGGAAUUACUGGGCGUAAAGCGCGCGUAGGCGGCUUUGUAAGUUAGAGGUGAAAGCCCGGAGCUUAACUCCGGAACUGCCUUUAAGACUGCAUCGCUAGAAUUGUGGAGAGAUGAGUGGAAUUCCGAGUGUAGAGGUGAAAUUCGUAGAUAUUCGGAAGAACACCAGUGGCGAAGGCGACUCACUGGACACAUAUUGACGCUGAGGUGCGAAAGCGUGGGGAGCAAACAGGAUU